CUACAGCAACUUCUGAGGUCCGUUGGAGGCUGGGUUGGGAGAAAACAGAGAACAAGUAAGGUUAACUUUUUUAUUUUUUAAGAUUGAUUCACUGGCCUGUUGAAAUGUGAAAUAGAAUCUUGUAGGUCAGCAACGCAGGAAAUAUGAAUGUGUGGCUAUGGCGCCCAGCGGAUGCAGGUGAGAAGCUCUGCAGGGACCAGCGUCAGGUGUGGUGUGCGUGCUGCCAGAUUGCCUGGGCGACUGUGAUUCCACAGGCAGAAUUUCCAAAGAAAAGCAUGUAAGCUUUCCGUAUAAAGCGUUGAAGACAGCAGAACAUAUUUGUGGAACCCAGUGAUGCUGGGUACAAGGUGCAAGAUGCUCAAAGGUACCUCCAUACCCUUUCUUGAAGUCCACCAGUGAGGCCCAACUGAGCUGAAGCAGGCUGGGGAGCGGGCGAGGACUUCUGCAGGGCAUCCGAAUAGCUAAAAAUGGCUCAAUGCAGCCCACAGCCUCUGGGUUAAAGAGGCAAUCCUGAUUCACAUCAGUAUGAUUUACAGAUCUUUGGCACUGAUGUAAACGCCUGCCACUCGUGGGGAUGUCCAACUGCCACAAUCACUUUACUCUAGUAUGUGCUACAGUCCUGUCUCAAGGCUGUGACUCCAGCACACGGGCCACUGCCUUGAUCCCCUAGAAGACUCGGUCCAUAGAAGCAGUCAGACCAUAACCUGUCACAUUUCUAAAUCAGUCCCAGGUGUCCCCGCUCUGAAAAGCAUUGGGCAAUAGUUGCUUGUCUUCUUUGCAUGAUAUCAUCAGUGAUUAAAAUCAUGUCAUGUAGGUACCAGCCUCUAAAAAUACUGUAGGGUGAGACAGUAAGGGAUUCCUUCCAGUUCUAUUAAUAAAAAGUCAGUAAAUAUUUCCUCCCUUCCCCUAACUUGUGUAAAGGUGUUUAAAAGGAAAGGGAAAAAAACCAACCCAAAACCCCCACACAACCAAACUACAAAACAUCCUUUUUCUUUAUGAAAAGUUUAUACAAAAAGGAAAGAUCUGGUCUAAUGUACAUUGUCUUAGGUUUACGGAUUUUCUUUGGUUGGAAGUUCGGAUUCCAAAAGUUUAUGUAAAAUGAGCUAUUUCUGUUUGGAAGUGCUAUCACACAGGCUCAAGGGACAUGUGCCUCAUGUUUCCAUUUUCCUCUAUAUGUUUGGAGCCUGGGAAAAUAAGUUCUGCAACACUGAAGAAAAAUGAAAACAACAACAACAACAAAGAAAUCUUAAUUUUAAUUGUAGUUCCAUUGUGAGAUUAUUUGAAAUGUAUCCCAUUAAUUUACAAUCUUGACUAAUUUUAUGGCUAAAAUUUUGGAAAUUAUUUUAAGACACUUUGGGGAAUACUGCAGAGAUCCCUAUAUUGACUCAA